GACGAACGCUGGCGGCGGGCUUAACACAUGCAAGUCGAAGGAGAAGGUAGAAGCUUGCUUUUACUGGAGACUGGCGGACGGGUGAGUAACGCGUAGAUAACCUGCCUAUAGCUGGGGGAUAACACUGCGAAAGUGGUGCUAAUACCGCAUAAUGCAGCGGGGCCGCAUGGCCAUAGUUGUUAAAGGUUUCGGCCGGCUAUAGAUGGGUCUGCGUGCUAUUAGUUAGUUGGUAGGGUAACGGCCUACCAAGGCGAUGAUAGCUAGGGGGUCUGAGAGGAUGAUCCCCCACACUGGGACUGAGACACGGCCCAGACUCCUACGGGAGGCAGCAGUGAGGAAUCUUGCGCAAUGGGCGAAAGCCUGACGCAGCCACGCCGCGUGCCGGAUGAAGGCCCUAUGGGUUGUAAACGGCUUUUACUAGGGAAGAACGAGGAGGUUUUGAUCUUCUGUGACGGUACCUAGUGAAUAAGCACCGGCUAACUCCGUGCCAGCCGCCGCCGUAACAC
rnacentral:rRNA from 1 species